rnacentral:rRNA from 1 species
AACGUAGGAGGCGAGCGUUAUCCGGAUUUACUGGGUGUAAAGCGCGAGCAGGCGGUUCGUUAAGUUGGGUGUAAAAGCUCCUGGCUCAACUGGGAGAGGUCGCUCAAGACUGGCGGACUAGAGGGUGGUAGAGGAAGGUGGAAUUCCGGGUGUAGUGGUGAAAUGCGUAGAUAUCCGGAGGAACACCAGUGGCGAAAGCGGCCUUCUGGGCCACACCUGACGCUCAGACGCGAAAGCUAGGGUAGCAAACGGG